UACGAACGCUGGCGGCGUGCCUAAUACAUGCAAGUCGAGCGGACAGAAGGGAGCUUGCUCCCGGAAGUUAGCGGCGGACGGGUGAGUAACACGUGGGCAACCUACCCUGUAGAUCGGGAUAACAUCGAGAAAUCGGUGCUAAUACCGGAUAAUCAUUUGAAGUGCAUGCUUCGAAUGUAAAAGAUGGCUCCGGCUAUCACUACGGGAUGGGCCCGCGGCGCAUUAGCUAGUUGGUAAGGUAAUGGCUUACCAAGGCAACGAUGCGUAGCCGACCUGAGAGGGUGAUCGGCCACACUGGGACUGAGACACGGCCCAGACUCCUACGGGAGGCAGCAGUAGGGAAUCUUCCGCAAUGGACGAAAGUCUGACGGAGCAACGCCGCGUGAGUGAUGAAGGUUUUCGGAUCGUAAAGCUCUGUUAUUAGGGAAGAACAAGUGCCGUUUGAAUAAGGCGGCACCUUGACGGUACCUAACCAGAAAGCCACGGCUAACUACGUGCCAGCAGCCGCCGUAACAC
rnacentral:rRNA from 1 species